rnacentral:miRNA from 1 species
GAACGACGUCUGACGCCUAAC